UACGUAGGGUGCAAGCGUUAAUCGGAAUUACUGGGCGUAAAGCGUGCGCAGGCGGUUUCGCAAGUCAGAUGUGAAAGCCCCGGGCUUAACCUGGGAACUGCAUUUGAAACUACGAGGCUAGAGUGUGUCAGAGGGGGGUAGAAUUCCACGUGUAGCAGUGAAAUGCGUAGAGAUGUGGAGGAAUACCGAUGGCGAAGGCAGCCCCCUGGGAUAACACUGACGCUCAUGCACGAAAGCGUGGGGAGCAAACAGG
rnacentral:rRNA from 1 species